rnacentral:rRNA from 1 species
UACGGGGGGAGCAAGCGUUGUUCGGAUUUACUGGGCGUAAAGGGCGCGUAGGCGGUCAGCACAAGUCAAUUGUGAAAUCUCCGAGCUUAACUCGGAAAGGUCAACUGAAACUGUGCGACUAGAGUGCGGAAGGGGCAACUGGAAUUCUUGGUGUAGCGGUGAAAUGCGUAGAUAUCAGGAGGAACACCAAUGGCGAAGGCAGCUCACUGGGACGAUACUGACGCUGAGACGCGAAAGCGUGGGGAGCAAACAGG